rnacentral:rRNA from 1 species
CUGUAAUGCGAUGAGAGGACGGAGAAGGCUAAAUCAGCCUGGCGUUGGUUGUCCAGGUGAAAGGAUGUAGGCAUGUAUCUUAGGCAAAUCCGGGGUACUCUAUGCUGAGAUCUGAUAGCAAGCUGUACUUGUACAGCGAAGUGGUUGAUGCCAUGCUUCCAGGAAAAGUCUCUAAGCUUCAGUUACACAGGAAUCGUACCCGAAACCGACACAGGUGGUCAGGUCGAGUAGACCAAGGCGCUUGAGAGAACUCUGCUGAAGGAACUAGGCAAAAUGGUACCGUAACUUCGGGAGAAGGUACGCUGUUGUUGGUGAUGGAACUCGCUUCCUGAGCUGACGACAGCCGCAGAAACCAGGCCGCUGCAACUGUCUAUUAAAAACAUAGCACUCUGCAAACACGAAAGUGGACGUAUAGGGUGUGAUGCCUGCCCGGUGCUGGAAGGUUAAUUGAUGGGGUUAGCGUAAGCGAAGCUCUUGAUCGAAGCCCCAGUAAACGGCGGCCGUAACAAUAACGGUCCUAAGGUAGCGAAAUUCCUUGUCGGGUAAGUUCCGACCUGCACGAAUGGCAUAAUGAUGGCGGCGCUGUCUCCAGCAGAGGCUCAGUGAAAUCGAAAUCGCUGUGAAGAUGCAGUGUACCCGCGGCUAGACGGAAAGACCCCGUGAACCUUUACUGCAGCUUGACACUGAACUUUGACCUUACUUGUGUAGGAUAGGUGGGAGGCUUUGAAGCUGGAACGCUAGUUCCAGUGGAGCCGUCCUUGAAAUACCACCCUGGUAAUGUUGAGGUUCUAACUCUGUCCCGUGAUCCGGGACGAGGACCGUGUCUGGUGGGUAGUUUGACUGGGGCGGUCUCCUCCUAAAGAGUAACGGAGGAGUACGAAGGUGCGCUCAGCGUGGUCGGAAAUCACGCGUAGAGUAUAAAGGCAAAAGCGCGCUUAACUGCGAGACCCACAAGUCGAGCAGGUACGAAAGUAGGUCUUAGUGAUCCGGUGGUUCUGUAUGGAAGGGCCAUCGCUCAACGGAUAAAAGGUACUCUGGGGAUAACAGGCUGAUACCGCCCAAGAGUUCAUAUCGACGGCGGUGUUUGGCACCUCGAUGUCGGCUCAUCUCAUCCUGGGGCUGAAGCAGGUCCCAAGGGUAUGGCUGUUCGCCAUUUAAAGAGGUACGCGAGCUGGGUUUAGAACGUCGUGAGACAGUUCGGUCCCUAUCUACCGUGGGCGCUGGAAAUUUGAGAGGAUCUGCUCCUAGUACGAGAGGACCAGAGUGGACGAACCUCUGGUGUACCGGUUGUGACGCCAGUCGCAUCGCCGGGUAGCUAUGUUCGGAAGGGAUAACCGCUGAAAGCAUCUAAGCGGGAAGCCUACCUCAAGAUAAGAUUUCCCUAGGACUUUAUGUCCUCUAAAGAGCCGUUCGAGACUAGGACGUUGAUAGGUUGGAUGUGGAAGCAUAGUGAUAUGUGAAGCUGACCAAUACUAAUUGCUCGUGAGGCUUGACC